UUUUUUUUUUUUUUUUUUUGCUUUUUUGCUCGAGAUAGAUACAUCCCAGCGGUGUCCUAUCUGCAGCAAGGAGCUGAGGGCCAAGGGUCGGGUGGGGGCUGUAAACUCCCAGGUACUGGGCGCUGUCUGCACAGGUGGGCAAAACAGCUGCAGUGCAUGAGGGCAGCCCACCUAGAAAGGGUCUCCGCCCAGAUGUGGAUGUUGGACCAAAAGUGCACUGAAGAGGGGAGGGGAGAAAAUUCCAGAACUGGUGAGGGGAUGGGGUAGCAUGCACGGCAUUGCCACACCCACCUCCUCUCCUCUUCCGGCUAAUGGUUUGGUAGGAUUCCCGCCACUCCUCUCUCUGCGUAUUUGCAAACCUUUAUGUCACAUACAUACGGAGAUUAUACAAUGUUCUGCAACCUGCUUUUCUACCUAAACCUCAGUCUUAGACAUCUUCAUAAAUUUAUAAAUAUAGGUACAUGUUCAUAUGGAACAUUAUGGAAUAAGAUAACCUCAUAUGCUGCUUAAAUGCUUUCAGUUUAUUUUAAUCUUUAAAUACUAAGAUUAUUGCAUUGUUUUAGCAGGUGAUUGUCUAGUCCUUUAAUCUUUACAUUUUUGCUUAGAAACAAAUGCUACUUCUUGUCAACCUUUCCCACCAUUUAAUUUUAUCUUUUUUGCCAUAACUUUCGUCUUAGAGUUUCUGGGUUCUUUUUUCAUACUUUCAUCUAACUCUUUCGCUUCAUUUUCCGAUGUUCAGAUGCUGUCUCAUCACCGUUAAUUUUAAUCCUUUUCCUCAUUUCUGUUAUCUUUGCUCGUCUUAACGUUCCAAUUUAAAAAAUGUACGUUCCUCUUAAUCUUCUGCCAUAUUUUAUCUUUCUUGACUCACUCUUUAAAAUAUUCAGCAGAGGAAGAACUUCUUGGAAAGAUGGCAGAGGAAGUGCCUAUUUGCAUAACUCCUUGGAACCCAUGGAUGUAAGCAAAAAUAGCCCAAUAUAUAAAAGAAGACUUACUGAAACAGGAGAAUGGCCCACCUCCAGGCUCUAAUUCUUAAGAUCUGCUGUCUGCAAUAAAUUGCGGACAGACGGAAAGAGCACAUCGAGGUCUACCUGGCUAUGUAAGGUGAAGCAACGGGGCAAGAAUGUUCCGAAGGCGGACAGCGCCUGAUCUGGAGGGACGCGGCCUGGAAGCAGCGACAGCACUGGGCACAACUGUUUCUUUUUUUUUUCCCACUGCCCGAGCUUUCAAAUAAGGGGUGGCCUAAACUGAGGGAAGGCUCGAGGAGAGAAGGAAAAGUAUAUCUGAAGAGCCAUUUGAACCUCUUGAAAUCUCUUAACCCAGGACAUUGGAACCCACCAAAUGAGUCACGGGAAAUCCCACCGACUGAGACCCUCUUUGCAGGAGCCUGUUCGCCCUGAAGUUGGGGGACGGAGCUGGAACGCCAAGGGGAGCCCUGCCACGGGGUCCCGUCCACCACAGGUACAGGGGACUCUGAGGACAGGAGGGAAAGCGGGCGGAGAGAGUAAGACAGGCAGCACGUUCCCACUGCCCCUGGACCCCUCACACCUCCCAAGAAGCAUCAAGGUCAGACCGCCACCUUCAGCUCGGAAAGAGGAGACUCAUUGCUGCUCAGAGAAGCAGGGAAGGGAGUCAAAGUGCAUCUGCCCAAAUUAUUAGUGGGGAAACACAGACCUAGACAGAGCUGCUUCCUUCCAAGAUGAACAGGCCGGAACCUGUUCGGGACGUACGAAAAGAGGUUUGCAAAAGGCAGAUGAGGAGGAGAGAUGAGAGUUUUUCUUUUUUGGUCUUUUUGCCUCUUCUAGGGCUGCACCUGCGGCAUAUGGAGAUUCCCAGGCUAGGGAUCCAAUCAGAGCUACUGCCGCCAGCCUAUGCCAGAGCCACAGCAAUGCCAGAUCUGAGCCACACCACAGCCCACGGCAACGCUGGAUCCUUGACCCACUGAGCGAGGCCACAGAUCAAACCCGAAACUUCAUGGUUCCCAGUCGGAUUCAUUUCUGCUGCGCCAUGACAAGAACUCUGAGAGAUGAGUUUUUAACAAGGAUCAGAUGAAACACAUAACAGCUUUGCUGUCUCAAGAAAAUGAGAAAAUAAGAACUCUCUCAAAACAAAAGAUCAAAUAAUUCAACAGACAGACUUCUCAAGGCUCUUGGAUACAAGGCCCCGAGUGGGGCAGGAAAAGGGUUGGUUCACCAAUGAAGGUGCUUUCUGAGAGGGCAGUGGGCCUGGAGGGGCGGAAAAGAGAGCAGAUGUGAGCGAAUCUCCUGAGCAAGCCGUGUGUGUGUGUGUGUGUGUGUGUGUGUGUGUGUGUGUGUGGUUUCUCACUGGACUGGGGAUGGCCCUCAGAAGCACAAAGUUCACAGUUUUCUCCUCCUGUGACUUCCAGGCCCUCUGUGCACCUUGGGUGUGUGUAUCAUGAGUCUCUCGCAUCUUAUUCUUCCUUCCGACUUGGAGGAAAACAAACCAAGCACAAAUCCUUAUUCUCACUUUCCUGCAAACCAAGAUCAGUUUUGGGGGCCUGAGCUGGCUCAGCAGCCAAGGGAUGGUACCCCCUGUAGAGCUGGGGGUGGAGGGAAGAGCAGUUCCUUCUGUUCCCAAGUGGACACGGGCCCCUCCCAUACACAGCCACUACCUAACCUGCAACCUUCUUCCUCCGGGUCCUGGCUUCCAGUGGAGCCACCGCUCAUGCACCUGUUCACCGGUACGCCGUCUGCCUCCAGACCUCCCCCUCUAGCAUGUUAGCUCUAUGAGAGCAGGGGACACCCCCCCCCCAUGGUGUUGAUGGUG
rnacentral:lncRNA from 1 species